ensembl:miRNA pma-mir-208 pma-mir-208
GAAGUGGCGCACGGGCGUGCUCCUCGCUCGUUUUAUUUUGGAAUCAAAAGUUAAAGAUAAGACGAGCAAGUAGUGGGUCCGAGCGCCGCACG